rnacentral:rRNA from 1 species
AGUGAACGCUGGCGGUAGGCCUAACACAUGCAAGUCGAACGGCAGCACAGUAAGAGCUUGCUCUUACGGGUGGCGAGUGGCGGACGGGUGAGGAAUACAUCGGAAUCUACUUUUUCGUGGGGGAUAACGUAGGGAAACUUACGCUAAUACCGCAUACGACCUACGUGUGACAUCAGGGGAUCUUCGGACCUUGCGCGAUUGAAUGAGCCGAUGUCGGAUUAGCUCGUUGGCGGGGUAAAGGCCCACCAUGCCGACGAUCCGUCGCUGGUCUGAGAGGAUGAUCAGCCACACUGGAACGGAGACACGGUCCAGACUCCUACGGGAGGCAGCAGUGGGGAAUAUUGGACAAUGGGCGCAAGCCUGAUCCAGCCAUACCGCGUGGGUGAAGAAGGCCUUCGUGUUGUAAAGCCCUUUUGUUGGGAGAGAAAAGCAGCAGGUUAAUACCCCGCUGUUCUGACGGUACCCAAAGAAUAAGCACCGGCUAACUUCGUG